rnacentral:rRNA from 1 species
UACGUAGGGUGCAAGCGUUAAUCGGAAUUAUUGGGCGUAAAGAGCUCGUAGGCGGUUUGUUGCGUCGGCUGUGAAAUCCCGAGGCUCAACCUCGGGUCUGCAGUCGAUACGAGCAAACUAGAGUGUUGCAGGGGAGACUGGAAUUCCUGGUGUAGCGGUGAAAUGCGCAGAUAUCAGGAGGAACACCGGUGGCGAAGGCGGGUCUCUGGGCAACAACUGACGCUGAGGAGCGAAAGCGUGGGGAGCAAACAGG